CCUUGGUUCGCCCCCCCGUCCCUUGGUUCUAGUAAUAUCCAAUUCUUUGUUAACAGAAAAUCGUUUGUUUUUGGGGGGGGAUUCUGGGUUUUGCUCAUUUGGGGUUUUUCUCAAAGGAAAAAACCAAGUUUAAGGAUGAACAGUCUUGUGCUUGUGAAUAAACACUAGUUAUUCAGUGGGAACAAUUUAUUCUAAUGGUAAUUCAGUAAGGAAAGGUGGAAUGACAACCCAUAAAGCCUUUACAUGUUACCCUAAUAAAUACUGUUGGUUAAUUCACAGUGCUAUGUUUUCCAUUUCUGGAUGAUUGGUUUGCAAUGAAUAACAAUGGAUGUAAUAUGAUUUCUGCAUGAAGAACAAACAAGGCAGAAACAUAAUACUAAAGAUUGUUACACUUUUCAUUACGUCGCAAGAGAGACUCAACCCUACGACAACAUGAAAUGGGGGUGCUGUUAUGAGACUCAACCAGAGAUGUUUAUAUAUAUAUAUACACUAGAUGACUACCAGGGGGUGCUGUUAUGAGACUCAACCAGAGAUGUUUAUAUAUAUAUAUACACUAGAUGACUACCAAGGGGGUGCUGUUAUGAGACUCAACCAGAGAUGUUUAUAUAUAUAUAUAUACACUAGAUGACUACCAGGGGGUGCUGUUAUGAGACUCAACCAGAGAUGUUUAUAUAUAUAUAUACACUAGAUGACUACCAAGGGGUGCUGUUAUGAGACUCAACCAGAGAUGUUUAUAUAUAUAUAUACACUAGAUGACUACCAAGGGGGUGCUGUUAUGAGACUCAACCAGAGAUGUUUAUAUAUAUAUAUAUACACUAGAUGACUACCAGGGGGUGCUGUUAUGAGACUCAACCAGAGAUGUUUAUAUAUAUAUAUACACUAGAUGACUACCAAGGGGGUGCUGUUAUGAGACUCAACCAGAGAUGUUUAUAUAUAUAUAUAUACUAGAUGACUACCAGGGGGUGCUGUUAUGAGACUCAACCAGAGAUGUUUAUAUAUAUAUAUAUAUACACUAGAUGACUACCAAGGGGGUGCUGUUAUGAGACUCAACCAGAGAUGUUUAUAUAUAUAUAUACACUAGAUGACUACCAGGGGGUGCUGUUAUGAGACUCAACCAGAGAUGUUUAUAUAUAUAUAUAUAUACACUAGAUGACUACCAGGGGGUGCUGUUAUGAGACUCAACCAGAGAUGUUUAUAUAUAUAUAUAUAUACACUAGAUGACUACCAGGGGGUGCUGUUAUGAGACUCAACCAGAGAUGUUUAUAUAUAUAUAUACACUAGAUGACUACCAGGGGGUGCUGUUAUGAGACUCAACCAGAGAUGUUUAUAUAUAUAUAUAUAUAUACACUAGAUGACUACCAGGGGGUGCUGUUAUGAGACUCAACCAGAGAUGUUUAUAUAUAUAUAUACACUAGAUGACUACCAGGGGGUGCUGUUAUGAGACUCAACCAGAGAUGUUUAUAUAUAUAUAUAUAUACACUAGAUGACUACCAGGGGGUGCUGUUAUGAGACUCAACCAGAGAUGUUUAUAUAUAUAUAUACACUAGAUGACUACCAGGGGGUGCUGUUAUGAGACUCAACCAGAGAUGUUUAUAUAUAUAUAUACACUAGAUGACUACCAGGGGGGGCUGUUAUGAGACUCAACCAGAGAUGUUUAUAUAUAUAUAUACACUAGAUGACUACCAGGGGGGGCUGUUAUGAGACUCAACCAGAGAUGUUUAUAUAUAUAUAUACACACACUAGAUGACUACCAGGGGGUGCUGUUAUGAGACUCAACCAGAGAUGUUUAUAUAUAUAUACUAGAUGACUACCAGGGGGUGCUGUUAUGAGACUCAACCAGAGAUGUUUAUAUAUAUAUAUACACACUAGAUGACUACCAGGGGGUGCUGUUAUGAGACUCAACCAGAGAUGUUUAUAUAUAUAUAUACACACUAGAUGACUACCAGGGGGUGCUGUUAUGAGACUCAACCAGAGAUGUUUUUAUAUAUAUAUAUAUAUAUAUAUAUACACUAGAUGACUACCAGGGGGUGCUGUUAUGAGACUCAACCAGAGAUGUUUAUAUAUAUAUAUACUAG
rnacentral:lncRNA from 1 species